rnacentral:tRNA from 1 species
UGGCUCUGUGGUAGAGUGCUUGCCUUACAUGCAUGAGGCCCUGAGUUCGAUUCCUCAG